UACGGAGGGUGCAAGCGUUAUCCGGAUUUACUGGGUUUAAAGGGUGCGUAGGUGGGUUGGUAAGUCAGGGGUGAAAGACGGUAGCUUAACUAUCGCAGUGCCUUUGAUACUGAUAGGCUUGAAUGUACUUGAGGUAGGCGGAAUGUGACAAGUAGCGGUGAAAUGCAUAGAUAUGUCACAGAACACCAAUUGCGAAGGCAGCUUACUAAAGUAUGAUUGACGCUGAGGCACGAAAGCGUGGGGAUCAAACAGG
rnacentral:rRNA from 1 species